GUCAAACUUCUAUAAGUUGAAAUGAUUUAUGGCAAAUAUUUAUUACAAUAUAUGUCGGUGAAAUGAAUAUAAUACACUUCUAUAUAAUUAUUUGAUGAAACAUUGCGCCUAAACAAGGAUUAGAUACCCUUUUAUACAAUGCCCGUUUUCUUUUGCAGAGAACUAAAACCUGAUGGUUAAAACUCAAAUAACAUGGCGGUAAUCUUAGCCCUUAGGGGAACUUACCUAAUAAAUGAUAACCACCAAGGUAAAGCAACUCUUGAAAAAUCUUGUAUGCCGUCGUCGUCAGACAACACUUAAUGUUUUAUCACUAUAAUUAAUUUAAAAAGACAGAUCAAGGUGCAGACAAUUCAAGAGAUUAGGCGAGUUACAUUUAAUUUAUUAUGUCACUACUCUUAUGUAAUAAAUAUAGAACUAGGACUUAACAGUAAUUUACAUUAAUUAUAGUAAAUGAAUAUGAUAAGAUUGUGCACAA
rnacentral:rRNA from 1 species